rnacentral:rRNA from 1 species
GGAUAACAUACCCUUUAGGACUGGGAUAACCCUGGGAAACUGGGGCUAAUACCGGAUAGGCAAUUUUUCCUGUAAUGGUUCUUUGUUUAAAUGUUUUUUCGCCUAAGGAUGGGUCUGCGGCCGAUUAGGUAGUUGGUUAGGUAAUGGCUUACCAAGCCGUUGAUCGGUACGGGUUGUGAGAGCAAGAGCCCGGAGAUGGAACCUGAGACAAGGUUCCAGGCCCUACGGGGCGCAGCAGGCGCGAAACCUCCACAAUGUGAGAAAUCGCGAUGGGGGGAUCCCAAGUGCCAUUCUUAACGGGAUGGCUUUUCAUUAGUGUAAAAAGCUUUUGGAAUAAGAGCUGGGCAAGACCGGUGCCAGCCGCCGCGGUAACACCGGCAGCUCUAGUGGUAGCAACUUUUAUUGGGCCUAAAGCGUCCGUAGCCGGUUUAAUAAGUCUCUGGUGAAAUCCUGUAGCUUAACUGUGGGAAUUGCUGGAGAUACUAUUAGACUUGAGACCGGGAGAGGUUAGAGGUACUCCCAGGGUAGAGGUGAAAUUCUGUAAUCCUGGGAGGACCGCCUGUUGCGAAGGCGUCUAACUGGAACGGUUCUGACGGUGAGGGACGAAAGUUAGGGGCGCGAACCGGAUUAGAUACCCGGGUAGUCCUAACUGUAAACGAUGCGGACUUGGUGUUGGGGUGGCUUUGAGCUGUUCCAGUGCCGAAGGGAAGCUGUUAAGUCCGCCGCCUGGGAAGUACGGUCGCAAGACUGAAACUUAA